rnacentral:rRNA from 1 species
GACGAACGCUGGCGGCGUGCUUAACACAUGCAAGUCGAACGGAAAGGCCCUGCUUUUGUGGGGUGCUCGAGUGGCGAACGGGUGAGUAACACGUGAGUAACCUGCCCUUGACUUUGGGGUAACUUCAGGAAACUGGGGCUAAUACCGGAUAGGAGCUCCUGCUGCAUGGGGGGGGUUGGAAAGUUUCGGCGGUUGGGGAUGGACUCGCGGCUUAUCAGCUUGUUGGUGGGGUAGUGGCUUACCAAGGCUUUGACGGGUAGCCGGCCUGGGAGGGUGACCGGCCACAUUGGGACUGAGAUACGGCCCAGACUCCUACGGGAGGCAGCAGGGGGGAAUAUUGCACAAUGGGCGGAAGCCUGAUGCAGCAACGCCGCGUGCGGGAUGACGGCCUUCGGGUUGUAAACCGCUUUCGCCUGUGACGAAGCGUGAGUGACGGUAAUGGGUAAAGAAGCACCGGCUAACUACGUG